CUUUUUUGCUUGAUGCUAAAAUGUUUGAUGCUUGAAAAAUCACAAAAAAAUAUGAUUUCAGUUAAAGAAAACAUCUUAAAUGGUUUAAAUGCAGUGAAAAAUGAAAGCAAACAAUAACUAAAUUACCGUCGGUAGAAGAGUUUGUAAAUAUGUUAAUGUAAUUUUGCAUAUUCGACCAAAAAAGUGGCAAAACGUUUUUUUACUUCAUUGUAACCAUUGAUUUCUGUUUAAUAACUUUAAACAUGUUCAUAAGAUAUGGACACUUUAUUUAAUAAUUGUCCCCUUGAGUUUGUUUUGAUGGUUUAUUUGGUAACAUAGAAAAUUGCAGAAUAUUUGUUCCUUAAAAACAGUCACCUGAAUGUAUUUUCUCCACCCAUGUUUACUUCACCGACAUUUAAUGCAGCAUCACCACCCCACGUGAUCAGGAGUUAACUCCAGCGAACUUUGCAGUUUAUGUGAUAAUUACACCGGUUCUCCUCUCAUAUUUGGGUGUUUGACUCCCAACUCCAGAGAUGGGGAGCGCAGGGCGGACUCUCCCUCUCGACUCCUCUCAUCCUCCUCCUCCUCUUCUUCUCCUCCUGCUGCUGUUUUGAAGGCGUUGAUUUUCCUUUCUGUCUAUCUCGCGUACAAUCUCCGCCCUCGGGGGAGAGACUACUACGUGUAUCGAGCGCUCUGGUCAUCUAACACUGAUGGCAAUUCCAAAUCACCUGGCACGAUUCUGAAAGGAUCGGACGGCGAGGGACAAACAACAACGGACAUCGGUGUCAAUUUGGCACCGAAAUUACCCUUUUCCUCCCGGUUCUGUGGAAAAUAUAGAGACGUCGUUAUGUUACGGAAAGCGAACCGGAAUCAUCGGACGGAGAAAUAGACCGUUAGUAAGAAAAAAACCCCGUGAAUUAAUCACUCCUUCGUCAGCUGCUGCAGAGACUGCUGGCUUCGCCUCCUGGGAUGUUUAUUUAGACGCUUCUGGUGCGCACAGUGUGCACAGCAGGUAUGCGUGCUGCUCAUAGUUGGCAGGAGCCACAGGCUUCACCUUCGUUCUAUCAUCAGUGCUAAUCAUUUCCAGCGUCUCUGCAGAUUUUCUGCAUAUCAAUGUGAGAGAUAAAUGAAGCACUAGCAGGAGUUUGGGAAAUCACGAUCAGCUCCGAGAAGGAAAGCCACACAGGAGCUGUUGGAAGUCAAGGAGCUCAGAGCAAACAUAGAAAGAUGAUAACAGCCAUCAUUUUAUUUAGAAGAAGAAAGUGUCAUUAUUACGGAAGGACUGUCAUCUUUGAGUUCCUGGAUUGCAACAGAGCUGGAGGACAGGAAGCGGAGGAAGAAGAGAAGGAGGAAAAACUGGGCAAAGCUGAAGAUGCUCAUGGACCAGCGUUGGACUGAGCUGUAGAAGUUUUUGCACAAACUGAUUCUACCCAGGAGCACAUCACACCAGGAGUCUUAGGCUGAGAGCUCCUCUGGAAGAUCCUCUGGAUUCAGCCUGAAACCUCGGAUGUAACGAAGACAUCAACAUUUCAUCACCAGGAAGUCCUACUCUUUUGGCUGCAUGGACACAUCGUCAAAGUCGUGGCUCCAGCAUCAGAGUCAGUUUGGGUUGGUGGGUCAAGCGGAGGUUUGCUGUGCUGGACCUGGAGUUUUAACACCAAGUGAGUGUGUUCAGGUCCGAAAUUGUCGACUCUGCUCUGUCAGCUGUGACCGCCUGUGAUUUUCUUUUAUCUGUCCUGGUACCAUGAGCUAUAUCUCUGUUACGUGUUUUUUUAUAUGUCUGGCUUUAGUCCAGUGUUUUCGCUUGAUGAAAGAAAUGCUUGAAUUUAAAUAUGUAUAUAUAUAAAUAUAUAUUUUUAGCAGUCAGUCCUUCACUAAGCAUCAAUCACUCUGAGCUCUGUGCUUUGUGACUCUCUCAGUCUUUUCCUCCUCUUUGUGUUUUUAACUUCCCCAAAAUGAAUGCCAUCAUUUCUGCUUCCUGCAGGGGGUUGAAGAGAUUUUUUUUAUACUCAAUUGGGAAGCUGCCAUUUCAAUUUUAAAAACAAAAAAAAAGAUUUAUAUGAGCGAUGCUUGAUACCAAGCCAGCCAGUCCAUGUGGGCUUUAAUGCGUUUACUAGAUUUCAUGUUCAUGUUUUAUUUCAUUUGUGUUUUGUAGAGUUUCAGUCACCAAAACAAUUAGACAAUUGUUUUGUUUAUUAUUCAAGCAACAGUGUGGUUCAUUAAGUACACGACGUGGUAGGAAUUAAGUUUUCAAAUAUUUGUUUUUUCCAAAGUUUUUAGUUUAUUGGCAUUGAUGGGCGAUGAAACUACGAUAAAUUUACCCAAAAUAGACAUAUUGGUUCUUCACUUAACAGUUUAUAGUUCAAACUGUGCAUUUUAAAGAAUCUUUCUUUUUAGAAUCUUUCUCGUCUUUAUUGGUUACUGGUAAAUAAUUAUCGGGAUGCUGUUUGCAAUUUUGUGUAUAAUUAAGCUGUUUUCUUGGUAAGCAUUAUAUCACAAUGUAAUAUGGCUGAUGUAAUGUGUUUGUGCUGACUUAUAGAAUUUCGUUAUAUUUUAUGGCUAACUUUUAGCUCUUCGAUAACACAUUUAAUUGUCUAAGACAUUGUAGGUGCACAAUUUUGAAAUAACAAAUGCAAUAGUUGGCGGGUGACAUGGGAGAUGUUGCAAACAGAAACCUAUUAUUAUUAACUAAGCUUUGGCUUAAUAUUUCUGUAGCAACACAAAUGCCCCAGUAUGAGACUUUUGGGCAAUUUAUUUUAUUGAAGCAAUUUUUGCUAAUUUGCGAUUAUGGUUUGUAGCAUGUAAUAUAUUCUGUAAAAAAACAGAUGAGGGGAAUAAUACUAAUCUAAUUUGCAGUAAAAAUGUUUGUCGUAUUAAUAUGUUUCAGUGCCAGAAUGCAGGGAAGCUUCCAAUUUUGUAAUUGAGAUAUGCAUGAAUAUCAGAAAAUAAUUUACCCACAUAUUACUUGUACUAUUUCCCUGUGUGACGGCAAUGUGUCUCCAGAUGCAUUUGAUUGGCCAGCUGACAGCUACCAUGGUAUCCUUAACAUUUAAUUUCCAACCUUUAGUUUCAUUUUUCUCUCAAUUCCAUCCAUGGUGAUAAUUCCUAUAAAUACAUAAAUAAAAAAGGUAGUAUGAUGGAGAGCAGUGCACAAACUACAAACAUGUUCCUAUGGAAACUAGGCCACAGUGCACGUCGCUGGCUCACGCUCAGGAAGAAGCAGAGAGGUAGCUGGAGACAGGGAUGCUGGUGAAACCGGCAUGGAGAACAACUUCUCAUUUUUUGUGAAGGUUUCUCCUCCUGUGUCUUUCUUCUGCUUACAGAGUAUUAGAAUUUUAAGAAUCGCCUUCCCUUUGACCAAGGGACAUUGUCAAAAGUUAAUGUUAAUUUUUCAUAUCUCUGAUACUCCAAAAAUAUAUUCUUGGUUUUAAAAACAAUGACAGGUUCUUCCCUCAUGCCUGAUCCUGAUUCCUAAACCCCUCCACCUACCUCUGUUGUAAAAACCUGCAGUUUUUUUUCUCUUCUGUGGGUUUUCCACACACUCCUUUUGCCAAAUUCAGGGCACAUUAUUUUAAAAGUCCUUGUCCAAUACUUUAAAGAUCCACUCAGGAAAAUCUCAGGUAAUCAAAGGAUAAGUAUUAUUGAAGUAUUCAUGCAUAUCUUUUGUACAAACCUGCUUCCAAAGUUGAGUUCAUACGUAUUGUUAACACUAGCCAUGUUAUGUUCUUGUUUUUUUUUUUAAUUUACCACACAUUUGAAAUUGCAGGACACCAAUAUAUAGGUGUCGAAAGUUGCACUGCUGCAGUAGAUGUGUCCAUGCACUCGUAAAUCACUGGUCACUCCUAAAGUGUGUCAAACCUCAGGGGUGAUGCUCCUGGUGUGCAAGGUUUCAUUGCUGUCACUCACGGAGUGUGGUUGUUCACUGUUAAUGGCUGCCCUUUGCCUUCUACAAAUACUGUGUUUCAGGAUUUUUGGGCCUGUAGUGGUCUAGAUGUAUGCAGAUAAACAAGCAUAUUGUGAAUUUUGUUUCUUCAAUAAGAAUUUCUCUACUGCAGAUUCUUUUUUACUCCUUGUCUUUGGCAGAUAAUUAUAGAUCUUGCAUGGUAAGCUUUUCUCUUGCUGAACCAAUUAUCAUCUAUUUCCAAGCUACAGUGAAUGUUGAAAAAUAACAGCAAAACUGUUACCGAGCAAAAUAUUUUUAUAUCUUCUUUUUAUGAAAGUCAAUAUGACAGUUAAAAUAAAUAUAAAUGAU